rnacentral:rRNA from 1 species
GAUGAACGCUAGCGGCAGGCUUAAUACAUGCAAGUCGAACGGCAGCGGGUGUAGCAAUACAUGCCGGCGAGUGGCAGACGGGUGAGGAACACGUACACAACCUCCCUCUUACUUGGGCACAACUCCGAGAAAUCGGGGCUAAUUCCCCAUAACAUCCCGAUAAGACAUCUUAAUGGGAUUAAAACUCCGGUGGUAAGAGAUGGGUGUGCGUCUGAUUAGCUAGUUGGUGAGGUAACGGCCCACCAAGGCAACGAUCAGUAACUGGUGUGAGAGCACGACCAGUCACACGGGCACUGAGAUACGGGCCC